rnacentral:rRNA from 1 species
UACGUAGGGGGCUAGCGUUGUCCGGAAUCAUUGGGCGUAAAGAGCGUGUAGGCGGCCCGGUAAGUCCGCUGUGAAAGUCGGGGGCUCAACCCUCGAAUGCCGAUGGAUACUGUCGGGCUAGAGUGCGGAAGAGGCGAGUGGAAUUCCUGGUGUAGCGGUGAAAUGCGCAGAUAUCAGGAGGAACACCAGUGGCGAAGGCGGCUUCCUGGACACCAACUGACGCUGAGACGCGAAAGCGUGGGGAGCAAACAGG